rnacentral:lncRNA from 1 species
UAAAGAGACCUUCUUAUUUAUAAAUUAUUUUUAAUAAUAAAAUAUUUAAAUUGACGAUCAAUUUUGUUAGAUAUAAUCUAUACUAUUAAAAUUAUUUAAAAAUUAUAUUUUAUAAUUUUUUAUUUUGCUUGUCUAGUGAAAGAGUAGUGUCAAAAUGAAUGACUGAAAAUAAAAAUUUAUAAAAAAUAGUGAUAAACACUCAAAUUUCGAAUUGAAAGUAUUAAUCUUGUUUUUGAUAUUAAGUAGAAAUUUUUAUGAAAGUUUUAUGUAAUUUGAAUUGUUGUACACUAUUGAAUUUACGAACUGGCAUUGGCCAUUGAAUAAUUAUUUUUUAAAUGUUUUGAUCACUUAGUAAAUGAUGUUGAAAAAUUAUAAAAUUUAGUUUCUAAAUAAUUUUAAUAGCGUAGAUCAUAUUUAGCGGAGCCGAUCGUCAAUUCGAGUUUUCUAUGAUCAAAAAUAAUUUAUAAACACGAAAAUCUCUAUACUUUUAAAAGCGUAGGAGACGUACUCCCUUUUUAUAUAUAAAAU